UGCGUUUAAAGGGUGGCUGAUUUACUCCACUAUAAUUCAGGUCCUGCAUGUGAGCCUCCAGCCCCGCGUCAUCUGGAUACUGCAGACAAACAGCGUUAAAUAUGCAUAGGGAACAGUUCAUUUCUUAAAGGAGAACUUACCCGGACAGAAAGUUCGCGGCCCAACAGGAGAGACAGAGACGUGGACAUGACUUUUUUCUGCAUUGUAGUCUGUGUGGCCAUCCCUCCCUGUCACUCUCUGAUGGAGGCCACACCACCUCGCUGCGGCAUACCUGUAAAGAUUUCAUGUCAUGUGGAAUAGGCCCUCACUUUACAGCUAGGAUGGUGGAAAGCAAAUGGAGAGUAUCUGAGAGAAAAAGAGACAAAGAGAUUUUCUGUUUAAGCAGAAGAACACGCCUGAAUUGUGGAUGUACUAUUAUCUGUAUUAAGCUCUGAGUAUUAAAAUGCUGAUUGUUCCAGUCCUCAUUACCUUAUCUUACCUCUGCCUUUUCCCCAUUGCAUACUUUGCUUUACCUCCAUUGUCUGUCUGCUUAACUUGUAAAAUGCUAAACAAGUUUUGAUAUUUACCUGUUUAUGAUUAAAUUGCAAAAUGAUUUGCUUA